AUGAGGAAUAUGGAGAAGAUUCAGGACUGUAAGAUGGUGGAAACAGGAAGACAUCUCAAGUAAUACCAACGGAGGUGAUGAGUGAUGAAGCCAGCUGAAACAGGAUUCAAGAUGAUGGUUGGCUGGUCCUCACUAACGACCCACAGAAACCAGGAAAUGACCACCUCUGAGAAGAGAAAGCAGGUUAAUACCCAGUGAAUAGCUACUCUGCUUGAUACAUUGCGUAAUUUAUCAUCGUGGGCCCUUGCCAUGAACUGACUGUUUAUGUGCCUCCCAAAUCCUCGGGGCAUGCUUACCCUCCAGUGCUGUGGUGUGAUGUGGUGGGGUCUCCAGGAAGGAAUUUGAUCACAAUGGUGGAACUCCUUCCUCAGGAGAAUCUCUUUCUCCUGGCCAAGUGAGGAUGCAGAAAAGACCACCCUCCACCAUGCAGGAAGGAGACCCCUGUCGUGGUAUCUUGUUCUGUCAAUAGACUUGAGGUGAUAACCACACCUUAGGUUGUGACUUCAGAGUAUAUGGCUGUGACCCCUUAUGAGGAAGAGGAGGGGCUGGCUUGCUCUGUCUUGGGUUGUGGACGGAGCAUCCUGAAGGGCAGAGGCUGUGUCUCCAGGAGGAGAAGACCGCGACGGUUAUUUAACCAUCAUUGUGUGAAUGCCUCCCAAAUAAAUACCUGUUAAUUCUU